CAGCGACAGAGCGUUCGGAAUGCAAAA
rnacentral:sRNA from 1 species